rnacentral:misc_RNA from 1 species
GGCUUCGUUCGAUUCGUUUAGCAUGGACGGCGAUGACUCUGUGGCGAUGGCGGCAAGUCCUUCCUUCCACGACGGCGACUAUUCCGCUGCCGGCACGCCGGUUUAUGAGGAAGUUACAGUCGAUCACGUUUCUCACACAGUCAACAAUCCCGAUCCCUACGGGUUCGGGUCGGGUCAAUCAAUUCCUUUUGGUGACUCCGAGGCUCCGAUCGCUGAUGGAAAUGGUAAGGCUUACGAUCUCGGUGAAGAUUCUGAAGGAAUUUUCAGCUCCGAUGGACCGGUACUUCCUCCUCCUAGUGAAAUGAGAGAGGAAGGUUUAGCCCUACGCGAAUGGAGAAGGCAAAAUGCUGUCCGUCUUGAGGAGAAUGAGAAAAGGGAAAAGGAAAUCAGAAACCAAAUUAUUGAGGAAGGCGAAGAGCAUAAGAAAGCAUUCUAUGAGAAAA